UUGACCUCGAAUCAGGUAGGAAUACCAGCUGAAGGGA
rnacentral:rRNA from 1 species